UGUGUGUGUGUGCGUGUGUGUGUGUGUGUGUGUGUGUGCGUGUGCGUGUGUGUGUGCAUGUGUGUGUGUCCUGCUGAUUGGAGGAUUUGUGUGUUUGGUGCUUUGAGCGUAUGGUCAGCUCCCUGCAUACCUACAAACACACACACACACACACACACACACACACACA
rnacentral:miRNA from 14 species